CAACAGGGAUUGCCCUAGUAACGGCGAGUGAAGCGGCAACAGCUCAAAUUUGAAAUCUGGCUUCGGCCCGAGUUGUAAUUUGCAGAGGAUGUUUCUGGCGCGGUGCCUUCCGAGUUCCCUGGAACGGGACGCCAUAGAGGGUGAGAGCCCCGUAUGGUUGGAUACCAAGCCUGUGUGAAACUCCUUCGACGAGUCGAGUAGUUUGGGAAUGCUGCUCAAAAUGGGAGGUAAAUCUCUUCUAAAGCUAAAUAUUGGCCAGAGACCGAUAGCGCACAAGUAGAGUGAUCGAAAGAUGAAAAGCACCUUGAAAAGGGGGUUAAACAGUACGUGAAAUUGUUGAAAGGGAAGCGCUCAUGACCAGACUUGUGCUGGGCAGCUCAUCCGGGGUUCUCCCCGGUGCAUUCUGCCCAGUUCAGGCCAGCAUCGAUUUUUGCUGGGGGAUAAGAACGGUAGGAACGUGGCCCUCCUUCGGGAGGGUGUUAUAGCCUACCGUACGAUACCCUAGCGGAGAUCGAGGUUCGCGCAUCUGCAAGGAUGCUGGCGUAAUGGUCAUCAGCGACCCGUCUUGAAACACGGACCAAGGAGUCGUCCAUUAGAGCGAGCGUUUGGGUGUAAAACCCGCACGCGUAAUGAAAGUGAAAUUAGGUGAGAGCUUCGGCGCAUCAUCGACCGAUCCUGAUGUUCUCGGAUGGAUUUGAGUAAGAGUUUUAACGGACGGACCCGAAAGACAGUGAACUAUGCUUGUAUAGGGUGAAGCCAGAGGAAACUCUGGUGGAGGCUCGCAGCGGGUUCUGACGUGCAAAUCGAUCGUCAAAUAUGAGCAUGGGGGCGAAAGACUAAUCGAACUGUCUAGUAGGUGGUUACCGCCGA
rnacentral:rRNA from 1 species